rnacentral:rRNA from 1 species
GAUGAACGCUAGCUACAGGCCUAACACAUGCAAGUCGAGGGGCAGCAUUUCAGUUUGCUUGCAAACUGGAGAUGGCGACCGGCGCACGGGUGAGUAACACGUAUCCAACCUGCCGAUAACUCGGGGAUAGCCUUUCGAAAGAAAGAUUAAUACCCGAUGGUAUAAUCAGACCGCAUGGUCUUGUUAUUAAAGAAUUUCGGUUAUCGAUGGGGAUGCGUUCCAUUAGGCAGUUGGUGAGGUAACGGCUCACCAAACCUUCGAUGGAUAGGGGUUCUGAGAGGAAGGUCCCCCACAUUGGAACUGAGACACGGUCCAAACUCCUACGGGAGGCAGCAGUGAGGAAUAUUGGUCAAUGGGCGCAGGCCUGAACCAGCCAAGUAGCGUGAAGGAUGACUGCCCUAUGGGUUGUAAACUUCUUUUAUAUGGGAAUAAAGUUUUCCACGUGUGGAAUUUUGUAUGUACCAUAUGAAUAAGGAUCGGCUAACUCCGUGCCAGCAGCCGCGGUAAUACGGAGGAUCCGAGCGUUAUCCGGAUUUAUUGGGUUUAAAGGGAGCGUAGGUGGACAGUUAAGUCAGUUGUGAAAGUUUGCGGCUCAACCGUAAAAUUGCAGUUGAUACUGGCUGUCUUGAGUACAGUAGAGGUGGGCGGAAUUCGUGGUGUAGCGGUGAAAUGCUUAGAUAUCACGAAGAACUCCGAUUGCGAAGGCAGCUCACUGGACUGCAACUGACACUGAUGCUCGAAAGUGUGGGUAUCAAACAGGAUUAGAUACCCUGGUAGUCCACACAGUAAACGAUGAAUACUCGCUGUUUGCGAUAUACAGUAAGCGGCCAAGCGAAAGCAUUAAGUAUUCCACCUGGGGAGUACGCCGGCAACGGUGAAACUCAAAGGAAUUGACGGGGGCCCGCACAAGCGGAGGAACAUGUGGUUUAAUUCGAUGAUACGCGAGGAACCUUACCCGGGCUUAAAUUGCAUUUGAAUAUAUUGGAAACAGUAUAGCCGUAAGGCAAAUGUGAAGGUGCUGCAUGGUUGUCGUCAGCUCGUGCCGUGAGGUGUCGGCUUAAGUGCCAUAACGAGCGCAACCCUUAUCUUUAGUUACUAACAGGUCAUGCUGAGGACUCUAGAGAGACUGCCGUCGUAAGAUGUGAGGAAGGUGGGGAUGACGUCAAAUCAGCACGGCCCUUACGUCCGGGGCUACACACGUGUUACAAUGGGGGGUACAGAAGGCAGCUACCUGGUGACAGGAUGCUAAUCCCAAAAGCCUCUCUCAGUUCGGAUCGAAGUCUGCAACCCGACUUCGUGAAGCUGGAUUCGCUAGUAAUCGCGCAUCAGCCAUGGCGCGGUGAAUACGUUCCCGGGCCU